AUUCAUCUCUUCAAUCUUUUGUAUUCACAUAUUCUAUUUAUUCAAUACACUUAGGAAAACACUUUACCAAGAAAUUAAGAUGGAGAACUUCCCAAUUAUUAACUUGGAAAAGCUCAAUGGAGAUGAGAGAGCCAACACCAUGGAAAUGAUCAAAGAUGCUUGUGAGAAUUGGGGCUUCUUUGAGGUAAUCAUAAAUUACAUAAACAUAUUAAUAUGUUUGUUUCAAUUUAUCAGUCAUACUUUUCUCUGUUUUAAAAUUAAUGUCACUUUCAAUAUUUAAUAAUUCGCAUGACAUGUUUAUAACACAACAAGAUAUAGGUUACAUUUUGAUACAUUAUAUAUAACUUCUGUCACACGACUCAAAAGUCUUUCUUAAUUUCUUGAAUUCAAUGAUCGAUCAAACUAAGACACGUAAAAUGAAACGGGGAAUAGUAAUUCUGUUUGCUUAUGUGAUCAUUGUAGUUGGUGAACCAUGGAAUUCCACAUGAAGUAAUGGACACAGUAGAGAAAAUGACAAAGGGACAUUACAAGAAGUGCAUGGAACAGAGGUUUAAGGAACUAGUGGCAAGUAAGGGACUUGAGGCUGUUCAAGCUGAGGUUACUGAUUUAGAUUGGGAAAGCACUUUCUUCUUGCGCCAUCUUCCUACUUCUAAUAUCUCUCAAGUACCCGAUCUUGACGAAGAAUACAGGUACAUACAUGUGUCCUACAUAUUGCGUAUAUAAUAAAUAAACACAAAAUUUAAGUUAUAUACGCUGACAGUAUAACUAAUUAUAAUGUUGUACCAAAUGAUGCAGAGAGGUGAUGAGAGAUUUUGCUAAAAGAUUGGAGAAAUUGGCUGAGGAGUUACUUGACUUACUCUGUGAAAAUCUUGGACUUGAAAAAGGUUACUUGAAAAAUGCCUUUUAUGGAUCAAAAGGUCCCAACUUUGGUACUAAAGUUAGCAACUAUCCACCAUGUCCUAAGCCCGAUUUGAUCAAGGGACUCCGCGCUCAUACAGACGCAGGAGGCAUCAUACUUCUGUUCCAAGAUGACAAAGUGAGUGGCCUUCAACUCCUCAAAGACGAGCAAUGGAUCGAUGUUCCUCCCAUGCGCCACUCUAUUGUGGUUAACCUUGGUGACCAACUUGAGGUACAAGAUUCACUAAGUGUGUGUGUUUUUAUCACUAUAACUUAGAAGUAGUAACUAAAAAUGGUAUUAAUGAAAUGUUAUAAAAACAGGUGAUCACUAACGGGAAGUACAAGAGUGUGCUGCACAGAGUAAUUGCACAAACAGACGGGACACGAAUGUCAUUAGCCUCAUUUUACAAUCCAGGAAGUGAUGCAGUAAUAUAUCCAGCAAAAACUUUGGUUGAAAAAGAGGCAGAGGAAAGUACACAAGUGUAUCCAAAGUUUGUGUUUGAUGAUUACAUGAAGUUAUAUGCUGGACUCAAGUUUCAAGCCAAAGAGCCAAGAUUUGAAGCAAUGAAGGCAAUGGAAAGUGAUCCAAUUGCAAGUGCUUAGAUCCCAAUUCAAUUAAAAAAAUUGGUGUUUGAAAAAUAUAUUUAAAUAUAGCAAUCUAUGUAUACACAUUAUUUGCUCUUCUUAUGUAUGGUAGAAUAAAGUUAGUAUUAAAAAAGAUUGUGAUUUGCUGCAUAUGUAUCAAAAAGAGUCCUAAUAUUUGUAUCUAUAAAUAAGGUGCCUUCUAGUGAAAUUAUACAAAUAAUAAUUUGGAGUGUAUUGUUCUUUCUCAUGUAAUUUAACUUUUAAGUAUCUUACUUUACAAUAUACUGUUCACUUAUUGAACAUAUUGAGUGAUAUAUUGACUCAAUUUGUUGACUAAAUUUGAAAAUUGACUAGAAGAAUUUGAUUGUCAACAUAUAUACAAUAUAAGUUUCUCUAAAAUCAGAAGAGGAAAAGGGCAAAGAGAAAUAAAAAAGAAGUAGGUAAGCUAGAUGAGAAAUUAUUGAUCACGUGCUUUUAGGUGUCCUGGUAUACUCAAGUAGUUUGGAAAAUUUGUCCCAUUAAUUAGUCUGAUUCAGAAAAUACUAUGGAUGUUGCUAUAUUGUGAAAUGGUCGUUAUACUAAUUCUAAACAAUAUUCUAAUUCUAUUAAGCCUAUAAAAUUAUCUUUUAUCAUGUGACGAUUUAUACUCUUAUUUCUUUCAUCUUUCAUAAAGUUUUGUGAAUUUUUAUUUACAAUUGAAAAAGAAAAGAGAAAAAAAGAUAGUUAUGUAGGCUAUACAGGUAAAGGUUAUGUCAAGCUAGAAUAUUUGAUUUGCAUAUCAAACAGGUUUACGGUUCCAAAUCAAGUGUACCACAAAGUUAUCAGAGGCUUUAAAUGACACCCUUGAAACUCAAUGAGACUGAACUAGGCACCACAUCGGUGAUCUGAAUCAGUAUAGAAAUAUUGUGUCAUUCUUUACUUUUCACACUUUACCUAUUUAUAUCCUAAGAAACUAACAUGCAAGAAAAGUCGACUACAACAAUUUUAAGGCAAAAGGGUCAAAUGGACCCGUAUACUUGUAUGCAUUUGAAUUGUGAACCCUUCUACUUAAUUAUUUGUCAACUAAACUUUCAAACGCAAUUGAAAUGAAUUUUUUGAACUCCUCUAACCAUGUGUGUAGGUCACUCUUCUUUACAUAAGGACAUGUCAUAUCAACAUCAGAUAUAUAAAUGACAUGUCAUAAUUACUUUUAAAAUUAUUAAUCAAAAUUCUUUAAUUGAAGGUAAAAAUGAUUUUUUAAAUUUUUUUUUAGAAAAAUAAAAAUCCAUACAUUCUCUCCCACUCCCACUGUUUCACGCCAAAGCUAGUGCCGCUGUCGCCAUUUUUAUCGGCGAAACCACCCAUAUCUCUUGCCUUUUAUCUCCGUUGCACAUCAUCAUCAUUUUUAUUUCCUCAUCCAACCUCCCCAAAAUCAAAAACAUAAACACAUUACCACUAAAUCUGGCCAAACACCAUUACCAUUUUUUAAUUUAUCUCACCAUUUUCGCCACCAUGAUUAGAUCAUUGCGCGCCUCGUUCACUUCUCCGCUGUAACAUGAACUUUGGCAUAACAAUCCUUUGAACAAAAUUAGGGAUCAAAAACUUGAUUUAAAUAUGUUCUUGUGUUAUAUUGUAGUCUAAGUAGUUCCUGCCAAAACUAUCAGCACCUUCACCAAAGGUUAGAAAAGUUGCUACUGCUUGUGGCUCUGCAACCGCACCUCUUUCUCAUUCCACUGCAUAUCAGUGGUUUCCGGCGAGCAUCGCCAGCGCCGCUCUCCCCCUUCGUUGGUAAACUAGUGGACUCAAGAAAUGUUAAAAUAUGCUAAAUAGAAGACAAUAGAUUGUGGAAAAUAAAGAAAAACGAGUGGACAUUGCUGAAAAAUAACUUUAAUGGGUGAAGAAGAAGGGAUUCUUUAAUUGAUUAUUUUUAAAACAAUUAUUUCUUUUAUAAUUUUUAAUAUUUUAAAGUACAAAUGUUACUCACAUGCUUAAGAAGUGUGUGACUACACGUUUUUGUCAACUCACGCAUUCUAACGCCACUUAAGUUUGGUCAAUGGUCAAAGAGGCUUGUUAAAUUGUGUUUUAUUGAGUAUAAAGGUUCAAUUGACAAAGAUAUAAGUAAAAUGAUUCACAACACAAACACAUAGUAUAGGGAUCAGCAAACCAUUCUGCCUAAUUUUAUUUCACCCCUCUCUUAAAACUUUCAGACAACAAACAUUGAUGUAGCGGUUAUAGAUGGUUGUGGUAACCUACUUCAAGCCUUAGAUACCUCAAUUAAUAUGUUGGGAAAACCAUCACGCUAAAAAUGCUAGGAAAAAGGACUCAACAAAUGUGUAAGUCUUGUCCAAUGCAAAAAAAAAUCUGAGGGAUAUGGUACUACAAAUUAAAAAAACCUAUAGUUUCAUGGACGAGAGGAACUACUUGUAUUUCAAUGGUAGCGAAUUGACCCAACUCAAAUUGAAAUUGAGAUUUUUCAAAUUGAGAAAAAUUAUUUAUCCCAACUAAUUAAUCAAUUAUUUUUUUAAAAAAUCUAACAUAGUAAUAUAAUUAUUUUGAAAAUGGACUAGUUAUUCCCUAUUAAAAGAUAAACUACUUAUUACACAUAUAUUAGUAUCAUAUAUAGAGCCGUCAAAAUGGACUUAAUCUAUGGGGCCAGGCCAACGCAACCCGUUAUAAGGUAGAAUUGAGAUAAGAUUAUUCAAGCCCCUUUAAAACUAGGGCUUGUAAACCUAGCCCAUGUAAGUCAUUGACCAUUGAUGCUUGAUCAGAGGUCGGCUCAUGGGCCAAAACUAUUUAUUUUAAUGUAGCUUAUAGAAAUUUCACUAGUUUAUGAGUCAAUAACUUAGAUGCAAGCUAUUUGUAGUAGUACGAAUCUUACUAGAUUUUGGUGUGUUCAGAGACAUGUAUCUCGGGACAUAUAGAGUCAAAAUUAUGCGUAAUUUAUUUUAGAUAUACUCUAUCCAAGUAGAUUCGCAUAUGCCUAGGAUACAUUGAUGAAUCCCGCGCCUUCGCCUUCCUCCCAUCUCGCUUGCCACAUUCUUAUCUCGUUCACAUAUGUGGAAGCAUCACACCAGAUAUAUCUAUUUCGCGUAUCUAGUAUUCUAGAUACAUGCUAAUCACACUAUAUUUUUUAUAGUGUUAUUGAAACAACACCGUUAUUUGUCAUAUUUGAUUUGAAAAUCUUUUCAAUCUUGAUGUCAUAAAAUUUUAAGUUUGAAAAGAAAAGAAAAUUAAAAAAAGGGCUAGACCACCCAGCCCGCGGCCCUUCUAGAAUUGAGUGAGGUUGGACAUUUUCAGGUGCUUCCAAAUGCAGGGUCAAGGCCUUCCCUAGCCCUUCUAAUUCCUUGGUCCACGAGGCUUGGGCUGGUUGGGGCUUUGUUGACCCUUUUGACAACUCUAACCAUAUGUAUUAAUCUUAUCUCUACUUUCAAACAAUUACACAUAUUAGAACUUUUAAUUUUUUAUACCAUAUAUUUUUGAAAAUACAAUUAAAUACGUAUAUCCCUUAAAACUAGGAUUGAUUAAUUAUCUACUUAAUUUAUUCUUUCACUCCAAAUCAACCACUCUCUUAGUUCUCCUCUCUCAUAUCUAUCACUCAAUUAUCUCUCAUAUUUUUGAAUUCAAUAUUUCACCAUACAAUUUCAUUACAACAAUGGCUAAUCUACUCUUUUCUUCUCAAGAUAUCAUCACAACGAAAGAUGAAAUCUCUUUAUCAUCGAAGUGGGUCUUGAUGAUUUGUCACUAGAAGAAAUUGAUGAAGUGGGUCUUGACUUAUUGUCACCGGAAGAAAUGGACCUCAAUUUUUGUUAUGUAUUCCCAUGGAACAGAAGGAUCUAAGGGAGCAUUGUAAAGAGUUUUUGUUUGCUGAUGUUCUUUUGAGACUUUCUUUGGCCACUGUAACAUGAAUGUGAUAGUAUCAAUAUUGUUUUGAUAGUCCUUGAAAUAUUUGUAUCCAUAAGUAGUAAUCUUAAUUAAGAUUUGAGUUGUGUUCUUAUUAAUAGGGUCUUGUAUAUUAGAGUUGUCAAUAUGGGUUAGUCCACCCCCUCCGGGCUGACCCAUACAGGCUUUGCAAUUUUGAGGUGUCACGCUGGGCUAGCCCAUUUUUUAUAUGGACCGAAAAAUGUUUGGCCCAGCCCACAAGUGCAUGGGCUACGAGCUUUGCCGGGUCAGCCCUCUUUUCUUAAAAUUAUAUCUUUUUUACAAUUGUUUUCUAAUGAUAUAAUAAAACCCAAAAAUUAUGAUAAUAUUCCGUAAACUAUGACCUAUAUAGUUAUUUUCUAGAAAUUUUAGAAUUUUUUAAUUUAUGUAGUAAAUAUUUCAUAAACAUAAUUUAUAUUUAAAUUGUAAUAUUUCAUACUUUAAACAUAUUUUGAAUGUAGACUCUUGUUAUUUUUAAUACUCUAUUUUUAUUUUUAAUUAAUAUUCAUUUGACCCGCGGGCCGACUCUAUUCAUAUUUCUCAAGACUCACAAAUCGAAAAACUUAUUCAAGUCGAGCUAAAAAACUCUUUUCUUAAAUAAAUUCAAAAAUUCUUAGUUCAAUCCUAUCAAAUCACGGGUUAGACCAGACCGACCAAACGUGUCUAGCCCAUAUUGACGGCUCUAAUGUAUAUGUAUCCACCAUUAAAUCUCACUUACAUAAUUUUUGACAACACAAUAACAUUCAUCAUUGUUGAACCAAAAAGGCUCUAAAUUAUUUAAGAAGAAUUUCAGUGGAAUAUAAAGUUUGUUGAUUCUCUAAAAAAUUGGAACAAUUCGAAUGUUAUGAAUUUCUUUAGGAAUUGUUAUAUGCCUUAAUUUCAUUCUUAAAUCAUGUCUUUUAGUUACAUCCUUAUUUAAGUAGAUUUAAUUAUAAUAAGUAUGUGGCUAAUAUGUAUCAAAGAUACAUUUAUAUGAACUUGUCUGAUUUGUAUUUGCUUUUUAUUUGACCACCUCAUUACAACACAAAAUAGAGUAAAAAUCAUAAGAAAAAUGAUCAAAGAAAUUAUGCCUUUUCAUUAAUCAUGCAUACUUGAUACAUAGAGUAAACAAAUAGCUAGAGUAAAUAUCCAAAUUUAGUUUCACUCACACUAUAAUUUACAGGGAAAAUUAACAUUUGAAUUGUAAAAUUGAGUUGGUUGCCAACCAUCUGGAAUGACAUUUAGGGCAGUAACACUUUGCUUUGUUCCAGAAGUAAGUCUUAGAGAAAAUGGAGGUUUUUGUGUGUUUGGAUCAAUUCCAACACUCCAAGUUGAUCCAAUCAUUCUAUUCAUUGAAUUCCAUGUAUUCUUCUUCCCUCCUGUUUGUAUUUCAACUAACGAUAGAUCACCAUCUCCGUCUACUGCUUCAGACACAACGGCGAAAAAAUUAGGGUUUGAUCCUUUAUCUACCUUGAAUAAUAUAUUUCUGUUGUAAUUGCAUGCUACCCUGUAAUAAAAAAUAAUAAUAAUAAUAUUAGUGUGAAUUCCAAAUUCGAAAAUAACUAACAAGUAAUUUAGUUGUUGUCAACUAUAUAUAUAUAUAUAUAUAUAUAUAUACCUUUUAUAAUAAAUCGGAAUUCUUCCUGCUUUAUGUAAUUCUGCCUGUUCACCAGGUUUUGCCAAUUUUGCGAAUGCUAUUCCACUAAAAUCAAAGUGAACUGGAUCAUCAUUGCAUGAACCAGGACACUCAUCAGUAAGCGUUACAGUUAUUGGAUUUCCUGAACAAUGUGGAUUCUGGGCUUCGUUGCAAAACACCUACAUCGUAGUCAUGUUAGUAAAAUCAUCGAGUUACGUAUGUUAGGGGAUUCAAUUGAAUCGUUAUAUAUACCUGAUAGCAUGCACCACAUCCAACACCUUGCUUAAAAAGAGCUUGAUUUCCCGCCGUGAUCAUAGAAUUGUAAGGAGAGUUAGCCACGUCGUUUUCUAGUCCACACGCUCCACCUACAACAAAUUGAAUGUAUAUAUGGGGAAUCAAGCCUUCACCAAUAACAUCAACGGCCUUAUAGGAUUGUAUUUUAAAUUCAAAAGUAAUUAAUUUUAUGGAAAAACAAAAGGUAAGAUGUAAUAUAUAUUACCACUUCCUGCAUCUGUAUAAAAAGUUGCAACAGCAAGUGAAAAACCACUUGGUUGACAAGAAGAAAAUGUAACCAAAUAUGAGCAAAAAAAUAUAGUGAUAAUCCAAAGGGAAAGAUUUGCAGCCAUGACUAUACUCUAAAUACUUUUUGCUAAUUGCUUAUGAAAUUUCAUAAUUGUUGGGACAUAUUUAUAGCAAAAAUGAAAUCUGGGAGAUUAAUUAGAGUCAAUGAUUACAUUAAAAGAAAUUUAUUGUCUUGGAAUCUGGAUUGAAAGUUUGGUACGUAUUACCUCCGUCAACUUUUAAUUGUCACAAUUUUCUUUUUUAGAGUCAAACAAUAAAAACUUUAACUAACAUUAGUGAUAUAUUUUUUCAACAUAUUAAUAUGCAAAAAAUGCAAUUUAUAGUACUUUAUAUAUAGUUUUUGAAUAUUAAUUUCUUUUUUAAGAAUAUCAAAUUAAUGUAGUCUAAUAUAACUUUGAAAAUUAGUCAAAUUGACUUUCAAAAAAUACAACAUGACAAAUAAAAGUGGACGGAGAGAGUAUCAUUUAAAAAUAAUUGAAGCUUUUCUAUAUCUGAUUUAUGAAUAUUUUCUCCUAGAAAGUAAUUAAGAAUGCAUAAAAUUAAGGAAAAAUUAGUAAAGUAAUCACAAUUCCUAACUUAAUUAGUAAAAACAUCUACACUUUAAAUUAUUUAGUCAAAAUGUCAAAAUGUCAACAUUCUAAAAAUAAUUUGUAUCUAAAUACUAUUAUUUGUCUCCCUUUUAUUUCUCAAAACAGUCCAACAUUAAAUAUAUUCACUAACCAUUUAGACUUCUAGACUUUAAUACCAUUAAAUUUAUUUCCAUCUUUAAUAUUUUCAAUUUUUUUUCUCUUUUACCAUUUUCACUAUUAUUGUCUCUCAUUGUUUUGUUGAAUAAGAACUAAUUAUUCAAGUUCAUAUCAAUUUGUUCGGAUCUAUCGAUUAAUUUAAGAAAUCUCCCAAUACAUAAAGGUAUUUUCAUAAUCAUCUUUUAUUUUGCGAGAUUUAUAAGAUUUUAUUUUUGAAAUAAAAAAUUAUGUUGAAUUUUGGAUUGUACGUAUUACAAUUUUUUCGUCAUUUUUUUCGAUUUUUAUAUUAGUUUGUUAACAUACUCAUCAAAUAUUUAUGCAUUUCAAAAUUUUAGUAUUUGAAACACUAUUUUUAUGAUUUUAUUUUCAUAUUUAUGAUUUAGUAGAUUGUAAUUUGUUGUAAGCCACAUAAGCAUCCAUACAUAAUAUAUUGUUUGAUUUUUUUUUGUAUAUUUAAUAAUUUCGAAUUUUGCUUAUAGGGUUAUUAAUUCACAAAUAACACAGAUUCAGAUUUGAAUUUGGUGGAAAGAAUUGAAAAAGGGGAACAUAGCAGACGAAGAAGAAAGAGAGUGUCAAAGAAGAAGGUUGCGAAAUUAUAUUCAUAUAAGAAUAAUAUUCAUAUUAAUUUUUGUUUGUCAAUUAUUUUCUUUUACUCCUCAAUUGUAUUUUUAUUAAGAACAUUGUAUUUCUUAAGCAUAGAUGUAUCCUAUUUUUCAACAGUCAAUUUAUAUUUUUUUGGAAUAUUGUAUUCUGAUUAUAUCAUUUUCACUAUGUAUGUUAUAUCAUAUAAAUUUGUAUUUCUUAAACAUAUAUGGAUACUAUUUUUCAACAGUUAAUUUGUAUUCUUUUUAGAAUAUUAUAUACUAAUUAUAUUGUUUUACAAUGUAUGCUAUAUGUUUUCCAGAAUCCUGUAUUCUUAUUUCUUUCAUAGUCAAUUCGUAUUUUUUUUAGAAUAUUAUAUCCUUCCUCAACAAAUUUAUUAUUUCCACCAAGUAUGCUAUUUUCCCCAAAAAUCUUGUACCCUUUCAUAAAUCAUAUUCAUACAUAUUGAGAUACAUGUGUAUAUAUACAAUUUUGAUCACCGAAAUACAAUUUGUAGUUUGAAAGAAAAAAAAAUCAAUUUUAAUUUGAAUGGUAAAGUGAGCACAUAAAAUGUAAAAAACAUUGGUAUACAAUUAAAAUGGAAACAUAACAAAGGAAAGUUGAUCUAAUAGAAUGAAAAAAGAGUUUUUUUUUUUUAAAUUGUUAAUGAUGAAAAUUUUAAGUGAUAUGUUCCUUCUCUAAAAAUAUUAUCUCACUUUUUCAUCAUACUACUUUUUUGUAUUUUAUGUACAAUAUUCUAAAUAAAAACUAGAAUAAAUAGAAAUACGAACAAAAUGCAUAUUGAAAUGAAUACGAAAUACAAGAAUUUUCGAAGAAACAAAUAAAUACACAUGAAAAAAAUAUAUGAAUACAAAUAUGUUUCUUAAAGAACUAUAGAUUCAUUUGGCAAAUCUAUUGGAAUGAAUACAAACUAAUUAAAAAAAGGUUAAGAUUAUGGAGAAAAAAAAAGCACAAAGUUUGAGUUUUAUUUGAAAAUGUAACUGAUGAAAAAAUUAAGUGAUCUUUACUUUUUUUUUAGAUAUUCCCUCUCUUGAUUUUCUCCCUUUGUUAUUAAAUAAUUCUACUCUUUUUAAAUACAAACAAAUAAUAAAAACAUAAAUAAGAUACAUAACAAAUUAAAAUUUUGACACUUUUACUAAAUAUUAAAAAUGUUGCUAAUAAGCUCUCUUAAAUAUUAAAAUAUUAACAUUUUGAAAAAAUUUUCUAAAAUUAAUUUUCUUUAGUAGAACAGUCAAUAUGGCUAAGCCCGAUCUAACUCAUGAUUUUAUAAGAUUGGGGCAAAAGUUUUAGAGCCCAUUUAAAAACAUCUCUCUUUAGCCCACUUCAAAUAAGUCUGUUGGCAUGUGAGGCUUGAGCAAUGUGAGUUCUAACCUAUCUGUAGAUUAAAUAAAAAUACAACAAUUUUCAUUUAUAGCAAACACAAAACUCAUAUUUGUAUGCUAUAACUAUAGUUGCAUAAUUGCGCUCUACAACAAACUUUAUCUUUGCUAUGACUAUUUCGCUAUACAUAUAUACAAAAGAAGGGGGUUAUUUCAUUAUAUAUAUAUAUAUAAAAGAAGCUGGGUAUCUCACUAUACAUAUAUACAAAAAAGCAAUUGUAUAAUGCAUAUACAAAAGAAAAAAUUGUAUAAUCUGUGUUGUAUAAAGAGAGAAAGACAAAACAUAACUGGGUAGAGAAAUAUCGUAUUUGUAUAAUCACAAGUGUAUAUGACGAAAAUAUAUGCAUUUACAUUUGUAUAUACAAUUUUCUCUCGCUUUAUACAAAUACAAACGCAAUGUAUACAUUUGUGUUUAUAUAAAGUGAGAGAGGCGAGCGAAAUCAAGAAGAGUGGCGAGCGAGAUCUGGAGAGGGGAACAAAAAUUGAUAUACAAACAAAAACACAUUUUUGUACAUUUGUGUUUGUAUAAAAGCGAGAGAGCGAACGAGAGUGGCAAUGCAACACGAGAAUGGCUAGCGAGAUUCCACAAGGGAGAGAGGUCAAAAUAGCAACAGUUUGCUAUGAGGUACAAUUAAAUCAAACUAUAUUUAUAACAUUUAAUUUGAAUUAACAAUAUACAAUUUUCCCAUAAAAAUAGUAAGUAAACAAGAGGAAUUCAAACACAAAGUCUACUUAAAUCAUCAUAUAUAAAUAUAACAAGUUAAUAUUUCUAUUUAGUUAGUUAUAUUGUUAUUUAUCAAUUUUUUAGUUUGCUUACUAACAUCUCUAUUGAUUUUCAUUUUUUUUUCCCAAAUGGAUAGUAAACUUUUCUAAAAAAAUUAUAAGCAUAAGUUAAAUUCUUUAGUAUUUAUGUGUUGAAAAAAAUGUAAUUCUCAUUUUUCUUUUUGAGUAGAAUAUACAAUCGCCGUUCACUUUUAAUUGUUAUACUUUUUUUUUAGAGUUAAAUUAUAAAACUUUGACUAAUACUUUAUGAAGUGUUUUUUCAUCAUAUUUAUAUACAAAAAAUUACAACUGAUAGUACUUUUUAUUUAGUUUUUAAAAUCUAAAUCUUUUGCUUAAAAUAUUGAAUUGAUGUAAUUUAAUUUAACUUUAAAAAUUAGUUAAAUUAACUUUUGAAAAACACAACAUGACAAAUAAAAAUGGAUAGAGAAAACUAGUAAGAAGCUUUUAAAAGAAAUUAUAAACAUAUAAGACCACUAAAUUAAGCAAUAUGAAACCAACAAAAUGCAGUGCUUCUCAUUUUGUACGUGGACAAAAUAAAGAGCUACUAAUUGUGUAUACAUUGUUUUUUUUCUUCUUCAAAGAAGUAAUAAGUAUGUAAGACCAUAAAGCAACAUAAAACCAACAAAACUAAGUGGCUUUUCAUAUUUUGUGUGACAAAAUAAAGACCUAGUUAUUGCAAUGGUCAAUUCAGAAUUUUAGUUCUAUAUGAGUGCAUAAUGUGGAAUUUGAAUUAUUGUAUUUUAAAAAUUAUGAGUACAUAUUUGUAGUACUUUUGAAAAAAUUUAUACGUAAAUUUAUGUUUUAUAUAUGUCGAAGGUACCAUUAGGUGUUCAUAUACAAUUUGGAUCGAUUAUUCUCAUUGAAAUCAAAAUGACAUUAGUUUAAUUGAUAUUUUAAUUAUUAAAUAUUUAACCAAAUCAAAUUUGGUAAACCUUUAUUAAUUUGUUUGUUUUCGGUCUGAUUCGAUUUUAUUUUCAAGAAAUGUAAUGAUAUUUUUUUCUUAAAUUAAUUGGUUAAGAAUGUUUUUCUUUUUCCAACUUAUAAUCCGCUAUUACCUUUUUAUUGUGGUUAAAACUAUUUUCUUUCUUUUAAGAAGAAAAUGUCUUAAAUGUAUCAAAGCGAAUAAUUUUAAAAGAAAUACAUAAAAAUAAAUGAAGGUAAAUCUCAUUAUUAUAAAUUUGAAUAAAUGAGUUUGGAAUCGUGAAUUUCGUUUAAUAAAAAGGCUUAAAGUAUAAAGUGCAUUAGUUUAGAACGAGCUUAUUUUAUAUUUGGUUGGAAUAAAAAUAGUAGAAUAAAUUAUCUUGAAAUUAGUUAUUCCAAUAUUAUAUUGUUACUUUUAUCAUACAUUAAGAUUAAUGAAAUAACUAUAUCAUAAAAUAAUUAAUCACGAAAUAACUUAUUUAUGUAUCAAUCGAGUCCUAAAUAGAUAAAUCUUUUUUCCAAAGAAAAAAUGAAGUUUGGUGGGGCAAUGCACAUGCAUGAACCCUAAAAAGAGAUGGAAAAUAUUCCUCCAAACUUGUAAGGCACUGCACAAAUAACAUGGGGCACCAAAGCAUGUCUUGGAAUUUUUGGCAAUGCAUGCAUAGAAAUUAUAAAGUUUGUGAAUGAUUUUACUACAAGUUAGCCACAUGAUGAUGAAAAAUUUUGGACCAUUGCAUGUGACUCCUCUAGGCUCUAUCCAAAUUGAAGAUUUUUCACUCUUUUAAUAAUUCCAAAUUACUAUUUUAAAAUCGAAAAUGAAGAGUGUUUACAAUCUCAACAACUCUCUAUCCUCUCGAAAUUUAGAAAUUUUAGCUAACCAUGAUUAAUUAAGUACUUUAGUUACAAUGAUUAAAACUAAGUGUACUUAAUGGAGAGAGAGAGGAGGCAUGUUAUAGUUAAUCCACUAUGAUUCAUGACCCUUUUAUUAAACCACAUAAAUUGGUGGUAAAAUUAAGUGUAUUUAUUUUAUUUAAUUUAAUUUAUAGAUAGAUAGAUAGAUACUCCUGCUUAUUUUAUAGUGAUAAUGAUCAAUAAAACUUUAGGUACUAGAUUUACAAAAUUCAAAACUAAAAGUGCAAGUGGACUAAAGAAGUUUUUUUUUUCCUGAUAACUAAAUAAACCUGACAUAUUUUAUACAUUAUAGUUAUCAAAUAUAAUAAAAGUUUGAAAAAAAUUAUUUAAGUUUUUGAAAUUCAUCAUAUAUUAACAAUUUUCAAAAUUCGUUUUCUAACAUAUUAAUGAUUUGCUAUUUAAUUAAUAUCAAGAGGUGCAAAAAAACCUUAGGCAUGUAGUCCAAAGGUGGCUAAUUCGUAUUUUUCAUGUGCAUUGAAUUUGACAACUUAAAUUUAGAUAGAGAUUAACCACUUGAAUUUUUUAUUUCCUCUUAUAGUAUUGUACGAUUACUUUAUUUUUUUGAAUAAUUUUCUAGACAAAGCACAAUAUUUAAGUCAUGACUAAAACGAUUACGUUUACGUAUUAAAAUUAUAAAAAAUAAUUAUAUCUAAAGGACAAAGCUUUAGAUCGCCAAAUGGAUGUCUUGAUGCACUUAUAUACUUUAUUGGUUCACUUUUAAUUGUCAUAUUGCACUUUUCGAAAGUUAAUUUAAAUAGCUUUUAAAAUUAAAUUAGAUCAAAUUAAUUUGAUAUUUUAAAUUAAAAUUUUGAAUAUUAAAAAACUAUACGAAAAGUACUAUACUGUAAUUUUUUUUUACAGAUUAAUAUGAUGAAAAGAUACAUAGUAAAAUAUUAGUCAAAGUUCUUAUAGUUUGACUCUAAAAAAAGAAAAUCGUGAUAAUUAAAAGUUGACGAAGGGAAUAAUUAGUUUGUUCUAGCCUGCAUAUUUCAUCAGCUUAGAUUUUAUUAGCUGUACGAAAUUCAACGAUUAGUUAAUUAGGUAAAGUUGUUGAUUAACAAUUAAAUGGAAUGACAUAGCUAAAGUAACAAAAAUAUAAAAUAUGAUACGUCGAAAAUUCAAACGUCCUAGUCAAAGAUAAUUAAUUAAGCCUAGAUUUGGCUUAAGAAUAUAAUAACUAGAACUCGUGAUUGCAGACUCUAUAAUUACCUCAAAUUCAUUGUUAAUUUUUUAAAAUGUCAAAUGCAUUUCCAAUGAUCACAUGGCCGCCCUCAAAGAAAAUGACUUCAAUAACAAAAAAUAACAUUAAUAGUAAAUAAAUUAAUUGAAUUGUUAUUUUAAAAAAUCAAUUAAGAGUGGUUAGCGUAAUAUACUAGGAAAUUUUAUAUGAAUCUCAUAGUGUUAAAAGUUAAUUACAUCAUAUUUUUAUUCUUUUUUAAAUUUCAAAAAUUCUUUAAAUUUUGUGGAAUUCGAAUAUAUUCCAAAACAUUUAGAUACAUCGCGUCCAAUUUCAGAUAUAUUGUUCAACCUUUUGAUACAUCACAUUUUCAUUUUAGACACAACACUCAACCGGUUCAUUUUAGAUACAUCACUCAGCGUCCGGAUACAUCGCGUUUAGAAAUGUAUCCGGCUGAAUCAACGCAUAAAGUGAUGUAUUACGUCCCGAUACAUCGCGUAUAGUGAUGAGUCAGACCGUAUCCAAUUGAUAUAUCGCAUAAACUGAUGUAUUACGUCCUGAUAUAUACAUCAUGUAAAAGGUGAUGUAUUCAUGAAUACGAGAGAUUAGGGUAUGUGUAACUUUUUCAAGUUAUAAAUUUUUUUUAGAGAAUAUGAUAAAAUAAAUUAUGUAUUUAUUGUUAAUUUUUCCGAUUUGAUUUAAAAAAAAAAUACAAGAGAGAGUAUAGUGAUGAAGCGGAAUCUUAGGGAAGAUUUCUAAAAUUAUGUCUCUUUUUUUAUGAUUGUAAUAUCGAGUAGCUCACAAGCCUCAAUUGCAACUUCAUCAGUAUUUGUUAUCUCCUAUCAUGUACUAAGUACUAAGUAACGUUUCUCAUUUAGAGUUAGAAAAAUAAAAAGCAAUCACCUAGUGUUUUCGUUCAAUUAAAAGAUAGCUUCUACACGCCGUAUGUUUUAGCAAACUUUUAGUUUCAUUAACUCGGGAAAAAUUUAGAAGACAUGGAAGUUCUGCACUAAAUUGCACUACAAUUUGUGUAACAAGAAAAAAUUAAUCAAGUCAACGGAUAGAAAUUUCAUAUGAAAGAUAUAUGGGGAGCGUUAAGAUAGAUUCGACUGAACUCAAUAAUUUUAGUUCAAAUCAUGCAUUUUAUUUUAGAAUUUUAUUUGAAUACAUACAAAUAAUUAAUUCAGAACCAGUAAUCUAAAAAGAUGAGAACCGAGACUCAAUAAGGUUCAAGUCUUAGCUUGGCGCCUAUCGUGCAAUGUGCUAAGUACAAUCAUGCACUUGAUUGAAUUUACUUAGAAAAUUAGGGAACGAUUUCUCACUUAAAAUACAUUUUUUCCUUCUUUUCUUUGAUGAUGCACUCAUAUUCUAAAAAUUUUAGAUUCAGUCACGUCCGACAUUAAAAACUUUCAAGUGUGAGGCAACUUGGUCCGACUCUGAACCAAGAAAUUUAUAAUAACAGAUGAAACAAUAUCAUCAAAUUAGCUUUCACUAGAGCAGCCUCUUCAGACAAAGCCCUUUUUAUAUUAAAUAUAUAUAUAUACAGGUCAAGAUAAAAGGGAAAAUCAUUUUUAGCCACCAAAAAAUUGGUCAUUUUCCAAUAGUACAUCUUUAAUUAGCUCCAAAAUUAAUCCCACUUGUGUGUAGGGUAAGAAGGUCCAAUAAGUAACUGUGACCAGAAUUCUUGUAAAGUGGACUUGGACUUUGGGGGGUUGGGACUUGGGUGGGGCAUUGUGAGACUUGGAAUAAUGUAAAGAAUUGUAGGACCAAAAAUAAGGUAAUUAAAUAGCAAAAUCCCACUAGUUAUAUAAUUCCUAAAUUCUUGAUUUCUUCUCCUAUAAAUACCCUUUCAAAGAAUCACUCUUUUCUCAUCAAACAUUUUAAUAUUCAUCUCUUCAAUCUCUUGUAUAAUUCACAUCAUAUAAUUUAAUUACCAAGAAAAAUUAAGAUGGAGAACUUCCCAAUUAUCAACUUGGAAAAUCUUAAUGGAGAUGAGAGAGCCAAAACCAUGGAAAUGAUCAAAGAUGCAUGUGAGAAUUGGGGCUUCUUUGAGGUAAUAAUAAUUACAUUUCGCAUAAACAUACAACGUCACUUUCUAUAUUGAGUAACUCUGUAAUUCCAACAUCCUACCACAUGACUUAAAAGACUACAACGUGACAAUAUUUACUUUCAUAAACUUUACAUCGAGUCAUACUAAGACACAUAAAAUGAAA
rnacentral:lncRNA from 1 species